UACGAAGGGGGCUAGCGUUGCUCGGAAUCACUGGGCGUAAAGCGCACGUAGGCGGCUUUCUAAGUCAGGGGUGAAAUCCUGGAGCUCAACUCCAGAACUGCCUUUGAUACUGGAAAGCUUGAGUUCGGGAGAGGUGAGUGGAACUGCGAGUGUAGAGGUGAAAUUCGUAGAUAUUCGCAAGAACACCAGUGGCGAAGGCGGCUCACUGGCCCGAUACUGACGCUGAGGUGCGAAAGCGUGGGGAUCAAACAGG
rnacentral:rRNA from 1 species